UCCUAAAAUUUGGUGUAAAAGUUUUUUUUAACUCCUAUACAUAAGUCAGGUGACACCUCAGAACCUAGCAAUUACAGGGGAAUUGCAAUAAUUAGUAAUAUUGGAAAGUUGUUUACUAGAAUAUUAAAUAAUAGAUUAGAAAAAUAUUUAGAAAAGCAUGGCAUUAUAUCCCAAGAACAAAUUGGUUUCUCUAAAGGUAAAAUGACUAGUGAUCAUCUUUUUGUCUUAAAAACUCUAAUAGAUAAACACACACAAAAAGGUUCAAAACCAUUAUACACAUGUUUUGUUGACUUUAGAAGAGCUUUUGAUACGGUUAAUCACACAGGACUGUUUUAUAAACUUAGUAAAAUUGGAGUAGGAACUCAUUUUUAUAAUAUAAUCAAAAGUAUGUAUUCUAAUAACAUACUAUGUAUAAAAACACGAAACAUGUUAACUUCAGACUUUAGAUCAUAUAUUGGAGUAAGACAAGGAGAUAAUCUUAGCCCAAGUCUCUUUAAAAUAUUUAUAAAUGAUUUUAAAUCUUUAUUAGAUGAAACCUGUGACCCAGUAUUGCUAUCAAAUGUUUCAUUAAAUUGUCUUCUUUAUGCUGACGAUCUUGUACUGCUUUCUGAAUCUAAAAAAGGCUUACAGAAUGCAUUAAAUAAGCUGGAAAUUUAUUGUCAAAAUUGGGGGUUAGAAGUUAAUUUAAAAAAAACAAAGUCUGUAGUUUUUAAUACAUCUGGCCGUAUUAAAGAUGCACAGCUUUCAUAUAAAGACACGUACAUCCAAAGUACCCAACAUUAUACUUAUCUUGGCGUAACUUUUAGUGCAUCUGGCAGCUUUUCAGAAGCCAAAAACAUGUUAUAUAAAAAAAGGCUUAAAAGCAUUCUUUAAAUAUACAAAAUAUUUUACUAAUUAUAAACCUAAUAUCUCCACUCUAAUGCACAUUUUUGAUCACACAGUGAAACCUGUAUUAUUAUAUGGUUCAGAAAUAUGGG
rnacentral:lncRNA from 1 species